UACAGAGGGGGCAAGCGUUGUUCGGAAUUACUGGGCGUAAAGGGCGCGUAGGCGGCCGCCUAAGUCAGACGUGAAAUCCCUCGGCUCAACCGGGGAACUGCGUCUGAUACUGGGUGGCUUGAAUCCGGGAGAGGGAUGCGGAAUUCCAGGUGUAGCGGUGAAAUGCGUAGAUAUCUGGAGGAACACCGGUGGCGAAGGCGGCAUCCUGGACCGGUAUUGACGCUGAGGCGCGAAAGCCAGGGGAGCAAAGCGGG
rnacentral:rRNA from 1 species